UGUUCUUUAACCUUCCACCAGUUUGCA
rnacentral:piRNA from 1 species